GUCUAUGGUCAUGCCACCCUGACUGCCUCAUCUCAAAGCGAAGCGGAGUUGGGCCUGGUUAGUACUUGGAUGGGAUUCCACCUAGGAAGACCAGGUGCUUUAGGUG
rnacentral:rRNA from 1 species